UACGUAGGGUGCAAGCGUUGUCCGGAAUUAUUGGGCGUAAAGGGCUCGUAGGCGGUCCAUCGCGUCGGGAGUGAAAAGCUGGGGCUUAACCCCAGUCCUGCUUCCGAUACGGGUGGACUAGAGGUAGGUAGGGGAGAUCGGAAUUCCUGGUGUAGCGGUGGAGUGCGCAGAUAUCAGGAGGAACACCGAUGGCGAAGGCAGGUCACUGGGCCGCAACUGACGCUGAGGAGCGAAAGCAUGGGGAGCAAACAGG
rnacentral:rRNA from 1 species